CCUACGGGUGGCAGCAGUGGGGAAUAUUGGGCAAUGGGCGCAAGCCUGACCCAGCAACGCCGCGUGAAGGAAGAAGGCUUUCGGGUUGUAAACUUCUUUUAAGAGGGAAGAGCAGAAGACGGUACCUCUUGAAUAAGCCACGGCUAACUACGUGCCAGCAGCCGCGGUAAUACGUAGGUGGCAAGCGUUGUCCGGAUUUACUGGGUGUAAAGGGCGUGCAGCCGGGAAGACAAGUCAGAUGUGAAAUCCCGCGGCUCAACCGCGGAACUGCAUUUGAAACUGCCAUACUGGAGUGCCGGAGAGGUAAGUGGAAUUCCUAGUGUAGCGGUGAAAUGCGUAGAUAUUAGGAGGAACACCAGUGGCGAAGGCGGCUUACUGGACGGUAACUGACGCUGAGGCUCGAAAGCGUGGGGAGCAAACAGGAUUAGAUACCCCAGUAGUC
rnacentral:rRNA from 1 species